rnacentral:rRNA from 1 species
GAUGAACGCUGGCGGCGUGCCUAAUACAUGCAAGUCGAGCGAACAGACGAGGAGCUUGCUCCUCUGACGUUAGCGGCGGACGGGUGAGUAACACGUGGAUAACCUACCUAUAAGACUGGGAUAACUUCGGGAAACCGGAGCUAAUACCGGAUGAUAUUUUGAACCGCAUGGUUCAAUAGUGAAAGACGGUUUUGCUGUCACUUAUAGAUGGAUCCGCGCCGCAUUAGCUAGUUGGUAAGGUAACGGCUUACCAAGGCAACGAUGCAUAGCCGACCUGAGAGGGUGAUCGGCCACACUGGAACUGAGACACGGUCCAGACUCCUACGGGAGGCAGCAGUAGGGAAUCUUCCGCAAUGGGCGAAAGCCUGACGGAGCAACGCCGCGUGAGUGAUGAAGGUCUUCGGAUCGUAAAACUCUGUUAUUAGGGAAGAACAAAUGUGUAAGUAACUAUGCACAUCUUGACGGUACCUAAUCAGAAAGCCACGGCUAACUACGUG